rnacentral:lncRNA from 1 species
AUGGAAUAAGGAAUAAAAUUCAAAAUCAUCAUGAUGAUAUGCAAAAAUUAAUUCAUUUAUUUUCGGUGUCGUAAUAAAAUUUUAUUUAUUGUGUUAUAUAAUAAUCUUUUCUUAUACUAAAAAUAUAUAAAGUUAUUUUGAACAUCCGUUAUUCUUCGGGAAUCCGUUCUUGUUGGACAGGUUUUGCAAGAUGGUAAUCCAGAAACUUACCAGUUCCACCAUUUCAUAGUUCCUUUCUUCUUCACAAAGUUUUGCCGGCGAAUCCCACCAUAAAUAUCAUUCAAAACUGUACAGGUUUCCAAAGCUGGAAAUUUUUGUAGUUGCGUGAAAAAAUGCACCCUAGAGUACAUUUUUCUUCCUGUUGUUGUUGUUUUUUCUUCCUUAAACCUUCGUACUUUGUCGGCUUCUAACUAUAUUUUUUAUGUAUUCCAUUUACAUCAUACUGUUUAAAAGAAAACUGAUGUUUUUCCUUCACAUCUUAUGUGUAAACAGCAGAUUUCCCCAGCGAGUUGCAAGCUCUCUCCGGAAAUUGCGAUCAAUUAUCGAUAUUUUUUCCUUUGAUCAAAUAGAUCUAAUAAGAUUAUUAGAUUGCAGUUUUUAUCCUCAACCAAUGCAUCCUUCACGUUAAAAAGUAAGAGUAAUUAGUUUUCAUGGAAUUUCACAAGUUUCAAUCAUCCUAAUGGGAGAUGUAGUGUUAUCAUUAUAGAUUUCAGUAUUCAUUCUUUAUUAUUCUCACAAACGAUCUUCAAUAAAGACUGCACUCACUCUAAUUAGUGCGAUGGGAAAAUUACAGAUACAACUCGGACCUUAGACUGGCGAAAGCCAUUUAUCAGAUAAAUAGCAGAUUGAACGAUUCGUAAAUUCAGCUAUUGCAGUAGAGUUUGAUUCGUUAUGUUUACCUCUUUAUUUCGUCUGUCUUUUUUUUUUUUCGUUGCCAUUCUCCGAGGUUAACGUUCGAGUAGAGAGGAUUUUAUUACAUUUCACGCGCGACGCAAAUUUCGCAACGUAUUUUUGAGUAAUGCGACGCGAUUAUCAGGCGGAACUAUCGAUUUUCGAAAAAAGUUAUUAGAUCUCAAUAUAAAAUUCAUCGAAACAAUUAAAUUUUUUUUCAUGGUUGAAAAUCGCUUUAUAAUGACCGAAUAUUAUUUUUUCGAAUACUUAUUUUGGAAAUUAUACAAUUUGUUUCGUUCUUCCGUUCCAUUUUUUUUUUUUUAAUUGAAUUUUGAAAGUACU